rnacentral:rRNA from 1 species
UGGGGAAUAUUGGACAAUGGGCGAAAGCCUGAUCCAGCCAUGCCGCGUGUGUGAAGAAGGCCUUUUGGUUGUAAAGCACUUUAAGUGGGGAGGAAAAGCUUAUGGUUAAUACCCAUAAGCCCUGACGUUACCCACAGAAUAAGCACCGGCUAACUCUGUGCCAGCAGCCGCGGUAAUACAGAGGGUGCAAGCGUUAAUCGGAAUUACUGGGCGUAAAGCGCGCGUAGGUGGUUAUUUAAGUCAGAUGUGAAAGCCCCGGGCCUAACCUGGGAACUGCAUCUGAUACUGGAUAACUAGAGUAGGUGAGAGGGGAGUAGAAUUCCAGGUGUAGCGGUGAAAUGCGUAGAGAUCUGGAGGAAUACCGAUGGCGAAGGCAGCUCCCUGGCAUCAUACUGACACUGAGGUGCGAAAGCGUGGGUAGCAAACAGGAUUAGAUACCCUGGUAGUCCACGCCGUAAACGAUGUCUACCAGUCGUUGGGUCUUUUAAAGACUUAGUGACGCAGUUAACGCAAUAAGUAGACCGCCUGGGGAGUACGGCCGCAAGGUUA